GGUGGUAAUGCCGGAUGCUCCGACUCCUCGCAUGGGGUGUCGGGAAAGAUUUCAUCGGUAUGGGAUGGGGUCGCGUCCUAUCAGGUAGUCGGCGGGGUAACGGCCCACCGAGCCUACGACGGGUAGCCGGCCUGAGAGGGCGACCGGCCACAUUGGGACUGAGAUACGGCCCAGACUCCUACGGGAGGCAGCAGUGGGGAAUAUUGCACAAUGGGCGCAAGCCUGAUGCAGCGACGCCGCGUGCGGGAUGACGGCCUUCGGGUUGUAAACCGCUUUUGAUCGGGAGCAAGCCUUCGGGUGAGUGUACCUUUCGAAUAAGCACCGGCUAACUACGUGCCAGCAGCCGCGGUAAUACGUAGGGUGCAAGCGUUAUCCGGAAUUAUUGGGCGUAAAGGGCUCGUAGGCGGUUCGUCGCGUCCGGUGUGAAAGUCCAUCGCUUAACGGUGGAUCUGCGCCGGGUACGGGCGGGCUGGAGUGCGGUAGGGGAGACUGGAAUUCCCGGUGUAACGGUGGAAUGUGUAGAUAUCGGAAAAAAAACACCACCC
rnacentral:rRNA from 1 species